rnacentral:rRNA from 1 species
CCUACGGGAGGCAGCAGUGGGGAAUAUUGCACAAUGGGCGCAAGCCUGAUGCAGCAACGCCGCGUGAGGGACGACGGCCUUCGGGUUGUAAACCUCUUUUAGUAGGGAAGAAGCGAAAGUGACGGUACCUGCAGAAAAAGCACCGGCUAACUACGUGCCAGCAGCCGCGGUAAUACGUAGGGUGCAAGCGUUAUCCGGAAUUAUUGGGCGUAAAGAGCUCGUAGGCGGUUUGUCGCGUCUGCUGUGAAAACUGGAGGCUCAACCUCCAGCCUGCAGUGGGUACGGGCAAACUAGAGUGCGGUAGGGGAGAUUGGAAUUCCUGGUGUAGCGGUGGAAUGCGCAGAUAUCAGGAGGAACACCGAUGGCGAAGGCAGAUCUCUGGGACCGUAACUGACGCUGAGGAGCGAAAGCAUGGGGAGCGAACAGGAUUAGAUACCCUGGUAGUCCAUGCCGUAAACGUUGGGCGCUAGAUGUGGGGACCAUUCCACGGUUUCCGUGUCGCAGCUAACGCAUUAAGCGCCCCGCCUGGGGAGUACGGCCGCAAGGCUAAAACUCAAAGGAAUUGACGGCNGAGAGNGCGACGACGACGACGAGGGAGGAGG